rnacentral:tRNA from 1 species
UUAAUAAGCUUAAAAAGCAAUUGUUUUGAAAACAAUAGAUAGAAAUUAAAUUUUUCUAU